GUCUGUCCUUAGAGUCCCUCUGAGUCCUGGAGUGUAAAGAAGAACAGCUCCCACCAGUUCAUCUUCAACACAAACCAUGUUCCCUGCAUCUCUGCUGCUGCUGGCAGCUGCCUCCUGUGUCUACUGUGAUAUUGAACUCAUCCAGUCUGGUCCAGUGGUUAUAGAACCAGGAGUGUCUUUCAGCAUCUCCUGCAAAUUCUCUGGGUUUUCUAUAUCUUCUUAUUGUCUUGGAUGGAUACGACAAGCUGAAGGGAAAGCUUUGGAGCAUGUUGGUGUUACAUGCAGUAGUAGUACUUACACUGUAGACUCACUAAAGAGCAAGAUCACUUCUAGAUAUGACAGUUCCAGCAGUACAGUGUUUCUACAAGGGAACAACUUCCAGACUGAAGACACAGCUGUGUAUUAUUGUGCUCGGAGGACACAGUGA